GGGCACGUGCUCCACCUAGUUGUAACGUAGGUCCGCCACUGAGUCAUCUUGUUAAAUUUUGUUUUUACUAAUUUAAAACAAUAAAAAUAUUCAUGCCCUCAUUUUCUCAUUAAUACCACGACUUUAUAGUUUAUAGUUUAUAUAUUAGUAAUGAUAUUAAUCAGUUUGUUAUGUUGCUACUUGCUAGGUGUCAUGGGUCAUCAUAAAAUAUAUUGAUGGAAGAUUGAUUGAUUUGAAUCUAUAAACCUAACCCACACGAUCGAAUCGAAUGAGAAAUAACAAGAAUCGUCCAUCGAAAAGAACUUAAUCAGAAACGUUAUCCGAUUAGAAACAUUACCAUUUGAUUAGUUUAUGCAGUUAAGUUUGACUUGUGCCCACUCCACAAACUU